rnacentral:rRNA from 1 species
GACGGGGGGGGCAAGUGUUCUUCGGAAUUACUGGGCGUAAAGCGCACGUAGGCGGCUUUUUAAGUCAGGGGUGAAAUCCCGGAGCUCAACUCCGGAACUGCCUUUGAUACUGAAAAGCUUGAGUUCGGGAGAGGUGAGUGGAACUGCGAGUGUAGAGGUGAAAUUCGUAGAUAUUCGCAAGAACACCAGUGGCGAAGGCGGCUCACUGGCCCGAUACUGACGCUGAGGUGCGAAAGCGUGGGGAGCAAACAGG